AUUCCGUUAACUUCUAAUCAUUUUUAUUGUUAUGCGAUUUAAAUUUUAAUAAUGUUCUGUUAUUAAAUUCUACUUGAAACAAUUACUAAUAAAUAUUUCGUCUUUCACUGACGUCAUCACAAACCUAUAGAUUAGCAGACCUGUACGUUUUGUACCUUGUGUACUCCUGGCGGUAAACCCAUGAACCGUAUUGUGACAUGGUCGGCGUAGAACGGAAAAUAAGAUAUCACUUUGGUCGGAGACUUCAACCGAAUAAGUACCUAGUGGCAGAUAACCUAUCCACGUAAAAGUGGCGAAUAUUUCAUUCUUGUAAGUCAUAGUAUUAUUUUGAAAAUAAAUUAUCCAAGUUUAUUACGUAUGUGUUUAGUGGGCUGAAUAAACGAGGUUGGAGGUUCGCAGCAGUGAUUUGUGGGCUAUCUGCCACUGGGGAAAAUCUUUUAACUACUCCUACCACCUGAGAAGGACCGCUUUUCGACCAAGUCACCUAGGGGACAAGUACUAGAGGAACAUGUAAUUUUUGUUCUUCAUUAUCCUGCAUUUUGGAGAAUUGCCGUGUUACGGUUGACUGCGUAGCACCAUUCUGUGCUUAAGACUUUACUGAGAAGUAGUAAGGAAAACUUGUGGGGACAAUAUCAGGUCAAUCGGGUUUGUUUCGGGAACUUUUUAUAUUUAACAGUGCAAUAGUUAUCUACCUAUACCAGUACACUUAUACACUUAUUUUUUUUAUAAUAUCCAGAACAUUUAAGUAAUUAACAUACACAUAAUUCAAUAGCGCUCCCACACCUGUAUGUCUCUUUGUAAAAGAGGAUAAUUUGGGCCCAAAUAACCUUUUCCCAUACAGUAGUUCCUUACAUUUAUUUUUUAUUAAUAUUAUUAGACUUGUUUCCCAUAUUUUUCAUAUAACUAUAUAUAUAUUUUAAUAUUAUUAGCUUGUUUCUUGUAAUUUAAAUUCCCAAUUUGUUUGCUUAACUUAAAUUCAUUUGUUAUUAAAUUAAAUUCAAUCCCUAAUCCCUAUCCCUUCAGGAUAGCUAUUAGUUUUACUUAGUCAUUAUUAAAAAACCACGAGUCAGAAAAAGGAUCUUUAUCAUCCAGGACUGCGUUGGUUCAGUUAGGUGUUGCCUAUUCAACUCAUUGAGUUAUAUAUAUUUGUAUGGUUCAUCCUAGGUAGGUAUUUUAGUAUUGAUUUCUUGUAGUAUUUAACGUUGCUGUACGUAUUACAAUCGUACGAUUAUUUGGUGAAGGUUGUUGUUUAACCUUAGUGUAAGUUGGGGGUACGCUCCAUAUAAGAGCUACCCCAGUACUAAUGUAAUUAUAGUUGUAUACUCAUAUUCAGAUAAGUAGUUAAGUCAAAUUGUCAUUUUAGAGUUACAUAGGUUGUAUUUUUUCUAACUCAGAGGUUGUCAAUAAUCUAGGUAGUUAUAUUUUAAUAAAUAUUUAUUUGUUUGUA
rnacentral:lncRNA from 1 species